GCCAAUGGAAGGACUAUAGUUCAGUGGCAGAUCACCAGCUUUGCAUGCAGAAGGUUCUGGGUUCAAACCCUCGGCAUCUCCAGGCA